GUGAAUACACUCUCUCUCCCUCCCUCUCUCUCUCUCUCUCUCUCUCUCCCUCACACACUCACACACACACACACACACACACAUAGGGAGGGAGGGAGGGAGGGAGGGGGAGAGGGAGAGAGGGAGAGAGAGAGAGAGAGAGAGAGAGAGAGAGAGAGAGAGA
rnacentral:miRNA from 1 species